rnacentral:lncRNA from 12 species
CAAAGCCAGAUGCCUUGAACUCAAUCAUGGAACAGAUUUACAGCGCAACUAUGGAGAAGGACUCUCUGUCUGUGCCUGGAGAUGGAGAAAAAGAGGGAUUGAGAGUGUACAGAAAAGGAGGAAGGUCAUGCCAAAAGGGACGGAAGUUUUUUACCCUGUCAGAGCAGGCGGAACCAAGCAGUUGCUGGCGUACAGCAGCUCAGAGCCAGCUUGAACCAGCUGCUCCAGGUCUGUGUGUAAUUGAAGAGAAGAGAGACAGUAAGCUACUCUGGGAACCCUGCACCACUGCAGCAUACAAAUGUUCUGCAAUUACUGUGAAUUUACUGUCUGCCUGAAUUUCUUCUAUCACAGGCUGUCACCUCACCCCUUUAAAUAUG